UUCAUCAGGAGGUGGAUCCUCUGCUGGGAGAGAGGGAGAGAGAGGGAGAGAGAGAAUCCCAAGCAGGCUCUACAAGUGUCAACACAGGGCUGGAUCUCAUGAACUGUGAGAUCAUGACCUGAGCCGCAAUCAAGAGUCCGACGCUUAUAUCAACUGAACUGCCCAGGCACCCACAGACCGCUGUUAACUGCGGAUUGUUGAAACUGCGGAAGGCGAAUCGGCAGAUAAGGGGGGGGGGGGGGGGGGGGGGAAUUACUGUGUAAACUGAUCCUGAAGUCUGGUGAGUGUUCUCACGGAACAGCAGCACCGUGGGCCUGAGGGUAUGGUUACUGUGGACGGGAGCACAGAGGCCCCCAGGGCCACAUUACCACUGCUCUUGUAUGGCCAUCCUGGAGGACUCUCAUCAGAACUUCACACUGUUCUCCCCUCUGCUUAGAGGAUAUUUCAACUGCUGUCAGGAAGACAAGAGCAGCUGGGCCGUUAAAGUCAACAGGCUCCCACUUCUACACCGGCCAGAUUGUGUCAUAAUUGGAAAUGUGAAAUAUGCCUUCCUCUGUUUAGACUUCCCAGGCGUGGCGUGGCUUGUUUGUGUUUCCUCCAAACCCCAGAAAAGGCCAAUCCCAGGCCUGAGUAAAUGCUCCAGGCUUGUUGGUGAGGAGAAGGGGCCACGGCCCCUGCCAGCUCCAGAACCCACUCCCUCCCUGCACGUAUUAUGUAGCACCAAGACGUCCAUUGCUCAGGCUCUGCUGUCUGUGAGUCUGGCCUUGCCUUUCCUGAUGAAAAACAAAAGAAGGGGAGUGAGAGAGAAGCGAGAAUAACAGGAUCACAACGAUCUCAUCAGCACAGUUGGAAAGCAACAAAUAUGAAGCCCAGAUCCAGAUCUUCAGGCACAGAAUGUCACCAAGGAAAAGCUGCCUCGCUCCUUCAUGACAACAUUCCCCCAAGAAACCAUUGCUUGGAGAAACUUCAAGUUCUGUGCUGAAGUGCAGUGCAAAGCUAAACAAGACUCUGAAAUGCAAAUGUCUUGUCAGCACAGAGCAGAGCAAGUUUUUAUAAGGUAGAUAAACCUAAGGAGCCCCAGCUCCCAUCUUCCCUGGAGAGAAGGGAUAGAGGACAGGACAGGAGGCAAAGAAUCAGGGGCAGAGUGGACACCUGACACAGCAUCAGAAGGAAGGAGUAUGGCGUUGUGAUUAAAUCCAUUGCUCUGAUGUCCAGCAAAAUUCAGACUCAGCCACUUACCAAAUGAGGGACUACGGUUACCUGCUACUCACUGGAGUUCAGAGAGAGGCAAUGGUGUGAAGCUGGUCGCGGCCAUCCAGACAGGUGUUCGCCAGCAUCAGCAUCACCUGGAUGCUUGUUACACCUGGGCUCCACCCCAGACCUAUGGAACCAGAAUCUCCAGGAAUCUGUAUCUUAACAAACUUUCCAGGUGACUUUUAUGAACCCAGGUUUGAGAAGCAUGACUCCAUGAUCACAGAUAGGCCUGAAGUCAUCCAUAGUGUAGGCAGUGAUAAGAUUGAUGAGAACACCCCAUCAUGUGCCUGAAAGGGUUUUGCAACACAUCAAACAACGUGAGCAUGGAAGAGAUUGUGAUUCUUAUCGCCACAUUUGUAAUAGGGUUUUUUAAAGGGAAAACAGCCAAGUCCUUGGCUUUCCUUCCCCUGCUCUUGGCAAAACCUCCUACUGCUCUAGGAGGAUUGCAAGAACAUUGACCCAGAAUUCCCUGCAUGUUUCCUGGGAAAAGCAAGCUAACUCUGACAGCUAAAACUGCUACACGGUGUAUCAUAAGAUCCCUGCUGCUCAGACCCGACAGCUAUUCCCUCUGGUUUCUGGCCUGCACAGCUGGCCCACAACGGUGGGGCUUUCUGUGCCUUGGGAGCUUUCUGCUGAUGGAGGAUAGCUUCCAGGUAGCCCCAGGAUUUGAAUCAAGACCAGUAAGUGGGUAAAAGCUACAAAGAGUCGGGUUUCAUGCCCAAGUAAGGAAGAACUUUGCAGGGAUCAGAGCUGCCCCAAAGUGGCCUAAGCUUCCCUAGCAGGUGGCAAGUGAGAUCCCUGACCGAGGAGAUGGUCACUCACAGGCCAAUGACCCUUUGGUGGGGCUAUUUUAUCCUUUUUCUUCUUACCGAGGUCUAGGAGCAGUGUGCUCUGCCUGAUACCUGAGAAGCCUUCUCCAAAACAUCCCUAAAUCCCUUCUUUCAUUCAGCUGGUAUUUGCUCAUCACCUACCACAAGUCAGGCGCUGGCCUACACACUCAGGAUGAAGGGCCUUGCUCUCGGUUUAGACUAGGUGAACAAGGCAGGCCUCUCUGCACAAGUGAUGUUGUAGGCUGAGAUCUAGAUCACAAGCAAGAGCCAGAAGUGGGGAAAUUAUGUGGAUGAGCACAUCGGGCCAAGGGAACAACUGGUGUAAAGCAGGUCCUGAUGCAGGAGUCCUGGAGCACAGUCAGUAGGGGCAAACCCCAAGAGAAGGCAGGGAGAGACCAGAUCCUGUAUGGAAGGCCUUAUUAGCCAGCGUAUGGGGUUUGGAGGAGUUUUUCUUUUGUUUUUUCUUUCUCUACUGCAACACUUAAACAGACCUGCUGACUGCCAGCAUCAUUGAAAUUUCUUCGUUGAGCACCUACUUCCUGCUACAAACCUCAGGAAACCAAGGGGCAGUGGUUGGAAUGGGUCAGCCUUGGGAGAUCAGCACUGAAGCUGGAGCCUAGACACCCAUCUGCCAGGUGCAGGGAAGGCAAGACUGUUCGGGUUUUAAAUAGGAUCUCUGGGCUGUGUCCUGAAGGGAAAAUAAUAAUAAUAGCUACCAAGAACCUUUAUUUAGCAUCAAGAAUCUUCUAAGAAUCAUCUUACUUCUCAGAGCCUCAGUUUCCCUAUUUGUGAAAGGAAGAGAAUGAUCACACGGUCUCACGGGGUUGAUGCCAGAUUAAAGCAGAGGCACUGUGAUUGUACUUAAUGCCACUGACUUCUAUAUUCAAAAGUGGUUAGGGCACCUGGGUGGCUCAGUCAGUUAGGCAUCUGACUCGGUUUCUGCUCAGGUCAUGAUCUCAUCAUUCGUUAGAUCAAGCCCCGUGUUGGGCUCUGCACUGGUAGUGUGGAGCCUGCUUG